rnacentral:rRNA from 1 species
UGGGAAUUUUGCACAAUGGGGGAAACCCUGAUGCAGCGACGCCGCGUGAUUUAGAAGGCCUUCGGGUUGUAAAAAUCUUUUCUAUGGGAAGAAAAUGACAGUACCAUAGGAAUAAGGACCGGCUAAUUACGUGCCAGCAGCCGCGGUAAUACGUAAGGUCCGAGCGUUGUCCGGAAUCAUUGGGCGUAAAGGGUACGUAGGCGGGUAAGCAAGUUAGAAGUGAAAUCCUAUAGCUCAACUAUAGUAAGCUUUUAAAACUGCUCAUCUUGAGGUAUGGAAGGGAAAGUGGAAUUCCUAGUGUAGCGUUGAAAUGCGCAGAUAUUAGGAGGAAUACCGGUGGCGAAGGCGACUUUCUGGCCAUAACCUGACGCUGAGGUACGAAAGCGUGGGUAGCAAACAGG